rnacentral:rRNA from 1 species
GUGCCAGCAGCCGCGGUAAUACGUAGGAAUCGAGCGUUGUCCGGAUUUACUGGGCGUAAAGAGCGCGUAGGCGGUUUGUUAAGUCUCAUGUGAAAUCUCCCGGCUCAACUGGGAGGGGUCAUGGGAAACUAGCAGACUAGAGGGCAGCAGAGGAAAGUGGAAUUCCCGGAGUAGUGGUGAAAUGCGUAGAUACCGGGAGGAACACCAGAGGCGAAAGCGACUUUCUGGGCUGUGCCUGACGCUGAGGCGCGAAAGCGUGGGGAGCGAACCGGAUUAGAUACCCGGGUAGUCCACGCCCUAAACGAUGGAUACUAGGUAUAGGGGGUAUAGACCCCUCCUGUGCCGUAGCUAACGCGUUAAGUAUCCCGCCUGGGGAGUACGGCCGCAAGGCUAAA